rnacentral:misc_RNA from 1 species
GAUGAAGAACGUAGCGAAAUGCGAUAAGUAAUGUGAAUUGCAGAAUUCAGUGAAUCAUCGAAUCUUUGAACGCACAUUGCGCCCGCCAGUAUUCUGGCGAGCAUGCCUGUUCGAGCGUCAUUUCAACCAUCAAGCCCCAGGCUUGUGUUGGAGCCCUGCGGCUGCCGCAGCCUCCCAAAACCAGUGGCGGGCUCGCUAUCACACCGAGUGCAGUAGUUUACUCUUCGCUCAGGGCGUGUGGCGGGUGCUAGCCGUGAAACCCCCAACUUCUCAAGGUUGACCUCGGAUCAGGUAGGAAUACCCGCUGAACUUAAGCAUAUCAUAAGCGGAGGA